rnacentral:lncRNA from 1 species
AGGCAUGUCAAAUUACACUGCUCUUAAUGAUAUUUCACACCGUAUAGGUGUAUUCCUCAGGAUUUAACAAGCUCUUCUAGCAUAAACUAGAAACCAUAAUCUACCAAAGAGGAAAACCCUACAUAAAAGAAUAUAGGAAGAAAUGAUUUGUUUAUAUUUCUACAUAUCUCUACAAAGAGGAGUGUAAGUAUAUAUAUGUGGGAAGAACUCAAAUGAUCAACGCUAAAAGACUUGGCUGCAAUUGGGAAGAAGGAUUAAUGGCCAAUAAGUUAAUAAUGGGGUAUGUUACAAAUAUCAAUUGUAAUGGUAAUAUUAUAAGAAGUAAUGACCAAAUAUAGCGACUUCAUGAAUAUAUUGCUGCCGAAGUUUAGCAUGUCUCCACUGAGACGAAAAGCUUCCUUCAUGAUAAUAUAUGAUAAAUAUAAAAAUAUAAAACAUGAGAAGCAAUUUGUCACUCCUACCACAAGGAAAAAAAGAAACCAGUACAACAAGAGGGGCUUACUGAUUCAAUAGUACUCCAUCAUUAUUUAUUCAUGGUACUAACAAAGUGUGACAUACAAGUAUGCUAAGUAGAAAACGUUAAGAUAUACCUCUCUUGCACUACUCUCUUCCUUCUCCAUACCAAUUCAUUAUUCAAAAUUUUAUUCCAUAUGACUCUUAUAAAUUUCUUCCAGCAAGUACGUUGACACCUCUUCUAUAAUCCAUAGACGUAGUUCACCAUGUGUCUCUCUUAUAAGAUAUGGGGAUUAACAACAUCAUGCUGCUGGUGCUAUUUUUGAUGCAUCAUCAUCAUCGUCAUCGUCAUCGCCUUCACAUUUUUUGAAGAUACAUAUAGUAGAUCCCAGCUUAGCUUCCAUAGCAAAAAACUUGGGGUAACCAAGUGAUACAUUCUUAUUGCUGGCACUCAUGAUAACAACCAUAUUUGUACUGAAGGAGUUUCUUGAACUUACCCUAGGCUUGAAAAGAUGAGACUCUGAACGUUCAAGCUAAGUAUAGUUGUUGCAAGAUAUGGUCGAAUGCUCCUAUUUAUAACAUGCAAAUCGAAUGUCAUUUGCAUAAAUCUCAUCAUUUCCACCACUUGUUGAAGUAUUUCUUGUGUAUUUACUUUUAUCAAGACGUGCAAUAGUCUCUGACUUGGGUUUCGAAUGAUAAGAGAUUCUUAGUUCUUUUAUCCUUUUUUUUUUCGUGUCAUCCGAAUCCUCUUUACAACAAACAAGCUUUUAUAAUGUAUAAAUAACAUUUUUUUUAAAAAAAAAAUUAAACUAUAUGUAUAUAUACAAUAAGCUAACAUCGGUUAAAAAUA